rnacentral:rRNA from 1 species
CUUUCUCCGCCGGCGACCGGCGCACGGGUGAGUAACACGUAUGCAACCUCGCCCCUGUCGAGGGGGACAACCCGCCGAAAGGCGGGCUAAACCCGCGUACAUGCCACCGGGGCAUCCCGGAGGCAGGAAAGGCUUCGGCCGGACAGGGAUGGGCAUGCGGCGCAUUAGGCAGUAGGCGGGGUAACGGCCCACCUAACCGACGAUGCGUAGGGGUUCUGAGAGGAAGGUCCCCCACACUGGUACUGAGACACGGACCAGACUCCUACGGAAGGCAGCAG